CAGAGAGGCGGCUGCCUCUCUAUGGUAACGCCCCGCGCAGGCGCUGGCCUGGCCGUGUUAGGCUUCGCUGGCGUAAAGUCCCCGGGAGCUUUGCCCCUCACGGAGAACGUUAGUUGACCCUGAUGGGGACCCGUAGGGUAAAGGUUUUGUUUUUGUUUUUUUUUACGGAAAAGGUUGUGGUUAGGCCCCUUGGAAAGUUGCGACAAAACUCGAGUUAGACAAGGAAGGUCGGAACUAAGUGGCCACAGCAACAAUGCACCAGCAAGCAGGGAGCGUGAUAGGAAGAGCUAAAGAGGAAUCGGGAAACCCUGGGUAAAAGUCGUCCAAGUGGAACUUCCUUUGGUCGGGGGUCUGAUACUCGAAGGAAACGGUCUUUCACUUCUGGGUUAGGGCGUCCGCCCAGAGGGCGACUGCAAUGAAGGAAAUUGUGCCCUGCGACUUCCCGUAACAGAGCUGUGUGUCCACGCUCCCUUUUCCGAGCAGGCGCGGACGCUUGUGCCGGAAGUAAACUUGUUAACGGUUCUUUGCCUUUUGGGGAGGGGAGACAGCCCAGAGAAGGCUUUGGAGACCCUUGAGUCGGCCAGCGAGCAGGGUUUCUUACUUGAGCGCCUCCACAAAUAAACGCUCCUUCGCUCCUCCGUCGCGUGCGUUUCCCUGGGAUAAUAAGUGGGAAAGUGGUGGCUUUUAUUUUUUUGAGACAGGGUCUCACCGCCGUCGCCCAGGCCGGAUGGAGUGCAGUGGCGCGAUCACGGCUCACUGCAGCCUCGACUUCCCAGGCUCAGGUGAUCCUCCUGCCUUAGCCUCCCGAGUAGCUGGAAUUACAGGCGUGCACCACCCCCCCCCAACUACUUUUUGUAUUUUUUUGUAGAGAUGGGUUUCACCAUGUUUCCCAGCCUUGUCUCAAACUCCUGACCUCAAGUGAUCCGCCGUCUUGGGUCUUCGAAAGUGCUGGGACAGCAGGAGUGAGCCACCGCAUCUGGCCCGGAAAGUGUUUUGGAGCGUAGAAAAAUGCAAAUUAUAGGGCUGCCUUCAAGGAUCCCGAAGGACCCACAGAUUUGCCGCAUCAGGCUCCUAUGCACGCCGGUAAUUUGAUGUGUUGAGAUGCACUGCCCAGUGCGUUGUUUUUACUGGAGGAGCUUGUGUGCGGAGCUCCUUGCUAGUGUAUGUGUUGGGAUGGGAGAGAAGUGCGGGAGAACUAUGAGAUAAUGCCCCCUGAUCCUCAGGGUCUUAGGAGGUAUGGUCGGAGAGGCUAAGCUAAAGUAUGAAAGCCGUGUGUAGGCCCUUCUGUGUAGUGCAGAAAAGGUAGAGGUAUGUGAUUUGAAAGAGUAGGGAUGACAUGGAGGAUGCGACUCCUGGUUGGAUCUAUAAACUAAUGUCUUUGGAACGAAAGCACAUGCAACCUUUUGAAAAUGGAUGGGUGAUAAUGAAAGACCAUUCCAGAGAAGAAACACCAUGGUGCAAAGGCUCAAGAGGCAUACUGGAAGUACAAUGAAGAGAGCAAUCUAACUGAAAUGGGAAAAAAAGAAACAAAGAGUAAAAAGUAAGAUUUGAUGAGAAAGAUGGAAUCGAUUUUUAAAUUUUUUUAUCUACACAACAAAAUUUAUUAUCUUAACCAUUUUUGAGUGAAUAAUUCGUUAGUAUUAAGUAUAUUUACCUCGUGCGGCCAGUCUCCAGAAUUCUUUUCAUCUUGCAAAACAAACCCCGAACCCAUUAAACAAUUUCUCAUUCGCCAUUUUCCAGCUAGCCUUGGUAACCUCCAUUCUAGUUCUGUCUCUGUGAAUUUGACUGUGUACCCCGUGUAAGUGGUAUCAUACAGUAUUUGUAUUUUUGUGACUGGCAUAUUUCACAUAGCAUAAUCUCCUUGUGGUUUAUCCAUCUUGUAGCAUGUGUCAGAAUUUCCUUCCCUUUUAAGACUAAAUAAUAUUCCAUUGUGUGUAUAUACCACUUGUGUUAUUUCCACCUUUUGGUUAUUGUGAAUAAUACUGCUUCAAACAUGAGUGUACAGAUAACUCUUCAAGAUCCUUUUAGGGUAAUACAGAGAUAGUAAGUUAUCUUGAUUGUUCACUGCCAG
rnacentral:lncRNA from 10 species